GUGAGGGAUAUUGGUCAAUGGGGGGAACCCUGAACCAGCCAUGCCGCGUGAGGGAAUAAGGCCCUACGGGUCGUAAACCUCUUUUGCCGGGGGAUAAGGACGCCCACGUGUGGGUGUUUGAAGGUACCCGGAGAAUAAGCAUCGGCUAACUCCGUGCCAGCAGCCGCGGUAAUACGGAGGAUGCGAGCGUUAUCCGGAUUUAUUGGGUUUAAAGGGUGCGCAGGCGGGGUGUUAAGUCAGCGGUGAAAGUUCCCGGCUCAACCGGGUCAGUGCCGUUGAUACUGGCAGUCUUGAAUGCGGUCAAGGCCGGCGGAAUGUGGCGUGUAGCGGUGAAAUGCAUAGAUAUGCCACAGAACACCGAUAGCGAAGGCAGCUGGCCGGGCCUGCAUUGACGCUCAGGCACGAAAGCGUGGGGAUCGAACAGG
rnacentral:rRNA from 1 species